rfam:Tilletia walkeri strain DAOM 236422 scaffold_133 mitochondrial, whole genome shotgun sequence.
GCCUUGAUAGCUCAAAUGGUUAGAGUGUAGAAUUGAAGCUUCUAAGGUCCUGGUUCAAUUCCCGGUCAAGGCA